AGCGAACGCUGGCGGCAGGCCUAACACAUGCAAGUCGAACGAACCCUUCGGGGCUAGUGGCGGACGGGUGAGUAACACGUGGGAACGUGCCUUUAGGUUCGGAAUAACUCAGGGAAACUUGUGCUAAUACCGAAUGUGCCCUUCGGGGGAAAGAUUUAUCGCCUUUAUAGCGGCCCGCGUCUGAUUAGCUGGUUGGUGAGGUAAUGGCUCACCAAGGCUACGAUCAGUAGCUGGUCUGAGAGGAUGACCAGCCACAUUGGGACUGAGACACGGCCCAAACUCCUACGGGAGGCAGCAGUGGGGAAUCUUGCGCAAUGGGCGAAAGCCAGACGCAGCCAUGCCGCGUGGAUGAUGAAGGUCUUAGGAUUGUAAAAUCCUUUCACCGGUGAAGAUAAUGACUGUAGCCGGAGAAGAAGCCCCGGCUAACUUCGUGCCAGCCGCCGCCGUAACAC
rnacentral:rRNA from 1 species